rnacentral:rRNA from 1 species
CCUACGGGAGGCAGCAGUGAGGAAUAUUGGUCAAUGGGCGCGAGCCUGAACCAGCCAAGUAGCGUGAAGGAUGACUGCCCUACGGGUUGUAAACUUCUUUUAUAAAGGAAUAAAGUGAUGCACGUGUGCCUUUUUGUCUGUACUUUAUGAAUAAGGAUCGGCUAACUCCGUGCCAGCAGCCGCGGUAAUCCGGAGGAUCCGAGCGUUAUCCGGAUUUAUUGGGUUUAAAGGGAGCGUCGAUGGGUUGUUAAGUCAGUUGUGAAAGUUUGGGGUUCAACCGUAAAAUUGCAAUUGAUACUGGCAGACUUGAGUACAGUAGAGGUAGGCGGAAUUCGUGGUGUAGCGGUGAAAUGCUUAGAUAUCACGAAGAACUCCGAUGGCGAAGGCAGCCUACUGAACUGCCACUGACAUUGAGGCUCGAAAGUGUGGGUAUCAAACAGGAUUAGAUACCCGAGUAGUC